CCACUUAUAAUAGUAUGCUUCUAAUUGUGUAGAUAUUGUGCUUUGAAAAGAAUUAGCUCUAAUACCAUUUAUAUAUUAGUAUGUUUCCAAUCAUGUAGAUACUGUUGGCUUUUAAAGGAACUUUCAUGACUUUAAAACACGUGUAUAUGGUUAAAAAAGUUCAUACAUAUAUAACAUCAUAAACUUUUUUUUUCUCUAUGUGAGAUAUCAUCUCAACCAGUAUUGAUAUCAACCAAUACUAAUGAUUUAUGCCUUUAGUAUUCCUUUUAGUUGUUUUCAUAUGAAAGAGAAUUUGUCUUACAUUUUUAGAAUUGUAGUUGAAGCUAUCAGGAACGUAAAGUCAGUGUAUGGAGUGAAGAGGAACUGGCAAGGUGAUCCUUGUGCUCCAAAAAAGCACUUGUGGGAUGGCCUUGAGUGCAGCUACAAUGGUUACAAUUCCCCCAGGAUCAUCUCUCUCUGAGUUUUCUACCUGGAAAAACAAGCUAAUUUGAUGGACUAAUGUGAAUUAUUGAAUUUUCUUCUUAAUGAAUAUCAUUCUAAUCUGUGUCUAGGGACCUGUCUUCAAGUGGGUUGUCCGGGAAAAUAGACUCUUCACUGUCCAAUCUCGAAUCCUUACAGUACUUAGAUUUAUCAAACAAUAGUCUAACUGGAGAAGUGCCAGAUUUUCUCAGCCAACUGCCUCUAUUGAAGACCCUAAACUUAUCAGGAAAUGAAUUCACAGGUUCAGUUCCAUCACUUCUUAUCCAAAGAUCCAAAAAUGGAUCCCUCUCUUUGAG